GUGUUGUAAGAAAGGAGAGAAGGUUAGCUUAACUCCCCUUGAUAAGGAUGGAAGAGGCCCUCGUGGCCUGUGCAACAUGCACAUGGUUAAGGCGCUGUCACUUACAUUGAGACAUCUAACCGGUUUGA